rnacentral:lncRNA from 1 species
GCAAAUUGCGAGAAUUUGGGAAGGGAAUCUUUAUCUUCUCGUCUAGUUCUCCGAGGUUGAAGGCUCGGCCUGCUCAGAGAAGGAAACUGAGGUCCACCGAGUUGGAGAAACCUACUCAACACCAGAGUUUCCUGAAUAAGUUUUUCCCAAGUUCUGUGUUAUUCUUUUUGAUGAAAGGAUACUGGCUUCCCUACAAUCAUCUUUUCAACUUCUAAAAUGUUUAAUUUUUUAAAUUGAGUAGGACUAAGCUAAUGAGAGCUUUGACUUGCUUAAACGUUGGGCAGGAAAGCAGAAGAGAAAAGGGAAGUGGAAAUCAAAACAACAGAGAAAAGAAAAUGCACAUAUUUGGGAAAUAGAACAUGUUACUAACAUCUGUGUCACAUAAUAAUCAGUGGACUAACUUCUUCAGUGCUUAGAGUGUGAGAAAAAUGGCAAAUAUGAAUAGUGAUUCUAGGCAUCUUGGCACCUCUGAGGUAGAUCAUGAAAGAGAUCCUGGACCUAUGAAUAU